rnacentral:rRNA from 1 species
UGGAUCCAGACUUUGAUUCUGGCUCAGGACGAACGCUGGCGGCGCGCCUAACACAUGCAAGUCGAACGGAGAUUACAGGCGGAAGUUUUCGGAUGGAAGCUUGUAAACUUAGUGGCGGACGGGUGAGUAACACGUGAGCAACCUGCCUAUCAGAGGGGGAUAACGAUUGGAAACGAUCGCUAAUACCGCAUGACAUAGCGGAACCGCAUGGUUCUGUUAUCAAAGAUUUUAUCGCUGAUAGAUGGGCUCGCGUCCGAUUAGAUAGUUGGUGGGGUAACGGCCUACCAAGUCGACGAUCGGUAGCCGGACUGAGAGGUCGAACGGCCACAUUGGGACUGAGACACGGCCCAGACUCCUACGGGAGGCAGCAGUGGGGGAUAUUGCACAAUGGGGGAAACCCUGAUGCAGCGACGCCGCGUGAGGGAAGACGGUCCUCUGGAUUGUAAACCUCUGUCUUCGGGGACGAAACGAGACGGUACCCGAGGAGGAAGCCACGGCUAACUACGUGCCAGCAGCCGCGGUAAUACGUAGGUGGCAAGCGUUGUCCGGAAUUACUGGGUGUAAAGGGAGCGUAGGCGGGCAGGCAAGUCAGGCGUGAAAUAUAUCGGCUCAACCGGUAACGGCGCUUGAAACUGCAGGUCUUGAGUGAAGUAGAGGUUGGCGGAAUUCCUAGUGUAGCGGUGAAAUGCGUAGAUAUUAGGAGGAACACCAGUGGCGAAGGCGGCCAACUGGGCUUUUACUGACGCUGAGGCUCGAAAGUGUGGGGAGCAAACAGGAUUAGAUACCCUGGUAGUCCACACCGUAAACGAUGAUUACUAGGUGUGGGGGGACUGACCCCUUCCGUGCCGGAGUUAACACAAUAAGUAAUCCACCUGGGGAGUACGGCCGCAAGGUUGCAACUCAAAGGAAUUGACGGA